GUGUCUGUAAAAGAGAGUAGCUCUGAGUAAGAACAGGGUCCUGUUAUACCCCAUAAUACGGACUUCUAAUCCGAGGGUCGUAGGUUCGAGUCCUACCGGGCGCACCA
rnacentral:tRNA from 1 species